rnacentral:rRNA from 1 species
GUUAAACCAGUAAGUUAAGUUAUAUAUUUUGGUAAAAAGACAGUUAGACAAGAAAUUAGUUUAUCGAUUUCCUUUAUAAAAGUAAAAUUUAAUAUAGGUAUAAUAGAAUAGUAAUAACUUAGUUGUUGAAUCUGUGAUAUCUUUAAGGGAAACUGGGAUUGGAUACCCCAUUAUUUCUAGAAGUAAAUAAAAAAAUUUACCAGAGUACUACAAAUAGAAUGAUUUAAAACUCAAAGAGCUUGGCGGUAUUUUAGACCACUUAGGGGAACCUGUCUCGUAAUCGACAAUCCGCGCUGAACCUUACCUUUCUUAGUGAUCAACUUGUAUACCGUUGUCAUCAGGUAACUUUUAAAGAAAAGAGAAGUUAGCUAGAAAAUUUAUUUAAAUUAGGAUGUCAAAUCAAGGUGCAGUUUAUAGAAAGGUGAAGAUGGGUUACAAUUAAUAAUCAUAAUACGAAUAUGCAUAAUGUAAAAGGCUUGAAGGAGGACUUAAAAGUAAAUUGGUAUAUAUAAAUGACUUGAACAAGGCUCUAAAAUGUGUACACAU